UACAGAGGGGGCCAGCGUUAUUCGGAAUUAUUGGGCGUAAAGCGCGUGUAGGCGGCUUUGCAAGUCGGGUGUGAAAGCCCUCAGCUCAACUGAGGAAGUGCGCCCGAAACUGCAGAGCUUGAGUGCCGGAGAGGGUGGCGGAAUUCCCCAAGUAGAGGUGAAAUUCGUAGAUAUGGGGAGGAACACCGGUGGCGAAGGCGGCCACCUGGACGGUAACUGACGCUGAGACGCGAAAGCGUGGGGAGCGAACAGG
rnacentral:rRNA from 1 species